GAUGAAGAACGCAGCAAAAUGCGAUAAGCAGUGUGAAUUGCAGAAUUCAGUGAAUCAUCGAAUCUUUGAACGCACAUUGCGCCCGCCAGUAUUCUGGCGGGCAUGCCUGUUCGAGCGUCAUUUCAACCAUCAAGCCCCCGGCUUGUGUUGGGGACCUGCGGCUGCCGCAGGCCCUGAAAACCAGUGGCGGGCUCGCUAGUCACUCCGAGCGUAGUAGUUACAUCUCGCUCAGGGCGUGCUGCGGGUUCCGGCCGUUAAAAGCCUUAUUUACCCAAGGUUGACCUCGGAUCAGGUAGGAAGACCCGCUGAACUUAAGCAUAUCAAUAAGCGGAGGA
rnacentral:misc_RNA from 1 species